CAGCAGCCGCGGUAAUACGUAGGGGGCAAGCGUUGUCCGGAAUUAUUGGGCGUAAAGGGCAUGCAGGCGGUUGUUUAAGUCUGAUGUGAAAUCUUGUAGCUUAACUACAAGCGGUCAUUGGAAACUGAAUAACUUGAGUACAGAAGAGGAGAGUGGAAUUCCACGUGUAGCGGUGAAAUGCGUAGAGAUGUGGAGGAACACCAGUGGCGAAGGCGGCUCUCUGGUCUGUAACUGACGCUGAGAUGCGAAAGCGUGGGUAGCGAACAGGAUUAGAUACCCUGGUAGUCCACGCCGUAAACGAUGAGUGCUAGGUGUUAAGGGGUUUCCGCCCCUUAGUGCUGGAGUUAACGCAUUAAGCACUCCGCCUGGGGAGUACGGCCGCAAGGCUGAAACUCAAAAGAAUUGACGGGGGCCCGCACAAGCGGUGGAGCAUGUGGUUUAAUUCGAAGCUACGCGAAGAACCUUACCAGGUCUUGACAUCCCUCUGACCGGUAUAGAGAUAUACCUUUUCCUUCGGGAACAGAGGUGACAGGAGGUGCAUGGCC
rnacentral:rRNA from 1 species